rnacentral:lncRNA from 1 species
CUUAUCUGUAGUAAUACAUAGUAUAUAUUGACAGGUUAAAAAAGUGUAUUUCUGUUCUAAUUAAUAUAUAUUUGUAUCUACAUUUUAACAUUUAAUUGCAAGUGGACAUUCAAUGCAUGCUGUAAUUGAAGGUAAAUAUUUAAUAAUUUACUUUUCUGAGUGUUGUGAUCGACAAAGUUUUGUUAAAAGGUAAGAUUAAAUGCAUGACUACAUUAUUCAUCAUAAACAGUUUAGUUUAAAUGAAUGACAGCUGAUUUUAAGUAAACAAACAUAUCUUUGGUUAAUAUUUACGUACUGUUACUUCACACACAAAGGAUAUUCACUGAUACAAAAAUGCAACACAAAUGUCGAUACAUUGUACAAAUGAAAACAUGCAGCUAAAUUUUGACACAAGGUCAAUUAUAAAUACAUUGAAAAUAAUAUAUGAACUCUGAAAUUUACAAUUAAGUUAAAUUAUAAUUUAAUCUGUUGCCAGGAUCUUUCUUUUACAAAGAAAAUUUAGACCAUAUCAUUUAAAAAUCUAUCGCCACAAAAGACAACAACACUCCAAUUUUCACCAAUGGUAUUGGUUUAUUAGGUCGACAUGUAUUUCCAGCAGGAGUGUCUAAAGAAUAAAAACAUAUUGUUCAUUUUCUUAUACAAUGUGUCAGAUGCAUGCUCAAUCAAGACAGAAGAUUAUCAUUUUAUUGGUCUAUUUCAUCUAAGGUUUAAAGUUUCUAAUUUUCAUUAAAUUAUGACUUGAGAUGAUUAAAAUUUUAAAAUUCAGUCUGACUGGAAAUAUUUAAUAUCUUAUAGACUAAUGUACCCAUAUAAUGUCCCAACAUUCACAAGCAUCAAAGGUUGUUGACCCCACAUGUCACUAUACAAAGGUGACAUUUUCUUGUAAAAUUAAAAUCAAUUCUAAAUCUUCUACUUUACUUACAGAGGAGAUGUGACAAUAUUUUAAUCAUAUUUCAUCAUCAAACUUGUCAUUUAUCAUUCAAUAAGAUAAAAAAAAAUAAAAAGAAAUUUUCCUUUUAUAAAAAUAGAAAAUUAGGAAUACAAUAUAUUACUAUAUCUAUGAAUGAAAAAUGAUAUGCUAAGGCACUGUUCUGUAUACAUAUGAACAGUACUAAGAUUUAAUUAACUUCUUAAUGGCAAUUCAGUUAAAAAAAAUUACAAAAUUUAAGAAGACAAUCUUUACUUGAAAAAAUCGUUCAGUACAACAAAUAACAAUAUACAGCUGACAUACUGUUUCAGGGGCGGAUCCAGCCAUUUUAAAAAGGGGGGGUUCCUAACCAGGACAAAGGGGGGGUUCCAACUAUAUUUCCCCAUUCAAAGGCAUUGAUCGUCCAAAAAAAAGGGGGGUUCCAACUAUAUUUCCCCAUUCAAAGGCAUUGAUCGUCCAAAAAAAAGGGGGGUUCCAACCCCCGGAACCCCCCCCUCUGGAUCCGCGCCUGUGUUUCUCAAUUAUUAUAUAAAUUCUUGGUAUCUUAAAUUCAAGUUUAAGGUAUCAAAUAACAUAUAAAUCCUGACAUGAAACACUGUCAGCAUCUUUUAAAAGUUAACAAUCAAUAACUUUAGCACUUAUUCAGACCAGGAAGCUGGCUGUAUUCAAAGAGGCAAUUAAGGGGGAAUUAUGUUCAAUAUUUAAACAUCACUGGCAUAUCUGCUGGAGGCUAUAUGUUUUUGUUUGAAAGAAUAUUUAGAAGACUUUCUGGAAGUUUUUUACUCCCGUGCCUUCAAAGUAAAAUCUGUCUUAAAUUUUAAUGCAGCAAAAACUACAUGCAGCAGACGUCUCAAAUAUCCUAACAGAAUUUUAAAUGUUUUACAGGAUAUCAGUUGAAUUGUUGAAGUAUUGAUUCAAAACAGUCUACAAUGGAAAAUGGAAUAGACAUGAUAGAG